rnacentral:rRNA from 1 species
GAUGAACGCUGGCGGCGUGCCUAAUACAUGCAAGUCGAACGAAACUUCUUUAUCACCGAGUGCUUGCACUCACCGAUAAAGAGUUGAGUGGCGAACGGGUGAGUAACACGUGGGCAACCUGCCCAAAAGAGGGGGAUAACACUUGGAAACAGGUGCUAAUACCGCAUAACCAUAGUUACCGCAUGGUAACUAUGUAAAAGGUGGCUAUACUACCGCUUUUGGAUGGGCCCGCGGCGCAUUAGCUAGUUGGUAGGGUAAAGGCUUACCAAGGCAAUGAUGCGUAGCCGAAUUGAGAGGUUGAUCGGCCACAUUGGGACUGAGACACGGCCCAAACUCCUACGGGAGGCAGCAGUAGGGAAUCUUCCACAGUGGGCGAAAGCCUGAUGGAGCAACGCCGCGUGGGUGAAGAAGGUCUUCGGAUCGUAAAACCCUGUUGUUAGAGAAGAAAGUGCGUGAGAGUAACUGUUCACGUUUCGACGGUAUCUAACCAGAAAGCCACGGCUAACUACGUG